CUGCUUUCAUUAUCAUCUCUUUAUUAUUCAUAUUAUUGACUAUACUUUACCCAGCUUUGGCUAGUUAGAGAGAUCUUGUACUAGUAAACUAGAUUCAUUCACAAUAAGGUUUUAAUACAAAAUCUCCAUAUUCCCGUGUUAUAUGUCUCUUUUUAAAAAAUUUUUUUUUUACUUUGUUGGUGUAGGUUCUUAAUACUAAUUUUGUGAGAUUUUAGAAAUGUAUAAUAAAAGUCAAAUUUAAUUCUCAGCAACAUCCAUCUUUCUGUGAUGUAGUGAUAGCAGUUUUGUUUAGCUCUUUCCUUCCUCUCAGUUAAUAUAAUUAAUAUGUUGCUCCUGCCACAGGACACAGUCUAUAUAACCUUUUCACAUAGAAGAGAGAAUGUGUUCUAGGUUGGUCUGGGGCCCGUGUAGGACUGGGGAGGCAGAGACAAUAUUUUAUCUGGGCAUCAGGAAUUGUUUAACUAUUUUGGUUAAUGUCACUGACAUUUUAAGUAAGGUGCUUAAAAUCCAGAGAGCUAAGAUAUAUGCUGCAUUAUUACAUUUCUCCAAGGUUGAAAUAACCUAGUUGGGGAUUUAACUUAUCACUUCAGUAUCUCCACCCAACAACCCAAUAGGUGAUAUUGGUUAAAUGACAGAAAGAACAUGAUUUCUGCUCUAUAGCUAUCAGGGAAUAAUAGAAAAAUAUUAAAGAGAUAACAAAAUAUGAUAAAUGCUUAUAACUUUAGCUUAAUGAAGCAGUUUUGGUGUAUAGAACAUGCCCCUGCAGUCUCACUGCUCAAUGCUCUGCCAUAUAAGAGUUAAAUCACUUAGUUUAUAUAGCCAUAGUCACACCUCCCUGCAUGUGACUUACACAGCUUUUCUAAACACUUCCUGUAAAAAGAUAUCUAUUAUUUAAACUUCCUUUAUUGCACAUUCUGUUUAAUUUAGAAAUUAUUUUUUCUUGCUCUGUUACUUGCCCGCUACAACAGCCUUCUUUCUGUGUUUAAAGUUCAAGUAACAGAGCAGGAGAUACAAAUCUGCAAAGAAAACACAUUGUACUGUAAGAUCUGAUUGAAAAUAAAAUAAUUUCUUUCAUGGAGACUGUGUGAGUCACAUCCAGGGGAUGUGUGGCUAGCACUGCAUUAACAAAAUUAUUUAACUCUUAACCCCUUAAGGACCAAAAUUCUGGAAUAAAAGGGAACCAUGACAUGUCACACAUGUUAUGUGUCCUUAAGAGGUUAAAGGGACAUUAUAGGCAUCAAAAAAACUUUGGCUUAAUGAAGCAGUGUUGGUGUAUAGACCAUGCCCCUGCAGUCUCACUGCUCAAUUCUCUGCCAUUUACUAGUUAAAUCCCUUUUGUUUCUGUUUAUUCUGCCCUAGCCACACCUCUCCUGGUUGUGAUUGACACAGCCUGCAUGAAAAAGUUUCAUUUUUAAUCAGAUGUUAACUUACGUUAUAUGUUUUUAUCUACUGCUCUGUAAAUUGAACUUUAAUUACACACACAGGAGGUCCCUGCAUCAUCUAGAAGGCUAUUAACCGUGCAGAAGAUAAAUUCUAAUUGUAAACAUUAGCUCUCUUUACAGGAAGUGUUUAGAAAGGCUGUACAAGUCACAUGCAACAAGUGUACCUAGGGCUGUAUAAACAAAGUGAUUUAUCUUCUAAAUGGCAGAGAAUUGAGCAGUGAGACUACAGGGGUAUGAUCUAUAUCAGUAGACUGCGAUCCAUGCCACACCGGUGUGUGUGUGUAUGGCAUAGGAUCCUGCCUGACCCAAACCGGCCAGCUGAUUCAUAGGGAAUUAGUGGUCUGUACCUCCAAACACCAGUACACAAUAUACAAACACUACAGAAAGCCCAUACAUACACAAAUACAAAACACAGCCCCCACACACAUUACAUACAGCCUAAAUAUACACACACCACCGACUGCAGCCACUACACACAACACUACAUACAGCCCAAAUAUACACACACACCACAGAUUGCAGCCACUACACACAACACUACAUACAGCCCAAAUAUACACACACACCACAGAUUGCAUCCACUACACACAACACUACAUACAGCCCAAAUAUACACACACACCACAGAUUGCAUCCACUACACACAACACUACAUACAGCCCAAAUAUACACACACACCACAGAUUGCAGCCACUACACACAACAUUACAUAUAGCCUAAAUAUACACAUACCACAGAUUGCAGCCAAAACACACACACACACACACACAAUUACUAAAAGCAACCCAUUUUUACACAUUUAAACAUCACAGACAACACACACACACAAAACCCCAGAAGGAAAACACAUAAUACAACUGGCAGCUAAUAUAACAUACACACACUACUACAAACAACCUACACUUACAACCCCACAGUUCCUGCCACACACGCACAUACCCAAAAUACCACAAACAGUCCACAUUUACAAAGAAAACCACAUAAGCCAAUCCCUUCAAACACAGAAUACCACAAACAAGAAAGCAUACACAACACUGCACACAGUCCAUAUAUAUACUUGCACAACAUCAGACAGUCCACACACAAAUGCCACCUCACAAAGCAUCCGCCGUACCCAUACAUAAAACAAGCAGAAUGCAUAAGCAUUACUUAAAAGAGCACUCCACACACAAAAAAGCACACAGCUUGCAGAAGUUCUAUAUGUGUUGAAAUCUAUCAUAUUUGUGCUGGGGAAAAAUGAAAGAGCUUGCAAUGGCUGCAGACAGAAAAUCUGCAGCUUUUGCAACUUUUUUUUUUUUUUACAUUCCUCCAAAGAAAGCAUGCAGAAAAAUAUAUACAUGC
rnacentral:lncRNA from 1 species